rnacentral:rRNA from 1 species
CCUACGGGAGGCAGCAGACGAGAAUCAUUCACAAUGGGGGAAACCCUGAUGGUGCGACGCCGCGUGGGGGAAUGAAGGUCUUCGGAUUGUAAACCCCUGUCAUGUGGGAGCAAAUUAAAAAGAUAGUACCACAAGAGGAAGAGCCUGCUAACUCUGUGCCAGCAGCCGCGGUAAUACAGAGGUCUCAAGCGUUGUUCGGAAUCACUGGGCGUAAAGCGUGCGUAGGCUGUUGCGUAAGUCGUGUGUGAAAGGCGCGGGCUCAACCCGCGGACGGCACAUGAUACUGCGAGACUAGAGUAAGGGAGGGGGAACCGGAAUGUUCGGUGUAGCAGUGAAAUGCGUAGAGAUCGAGAGGAACACUCGUGGCGAAGGCGGGUUCCUGGACAUUAACUGACGCUGAGGCACGAAGGCCAGGGGAGCGAAAGGGAUUAGAUACCCUUGUAGUC